AUUGAACGCUGGCGGCAUGCUUUACACAUGCAAGUCGAACGGUAACAGGCCGCAAGGUGCUGACGAGUGGCGAACGGGUGAGUAAUGCAUCGGAACGUGCCCAGUCGUGGGGGAUAACGCAGCGAAAGCUGUGCUAAUACCGCAUACGAUCUAUGGAUGAAAGCGGGGGACCGUAAGGCCUCGCGCGAUUGGAGCGGCCGAUGUCAGAUUAGGUAGUUGGUGGGGUAAAGGCCCACCAAGCCAACGAUCUGUAGCUGGUCCGAGAGGACGACCAGCCACACUGGGACUGAGACACGGCCCAGACUCCUACGGGAGGCAGCAGUGGGGAAUUUUGGACAAUGGGCGCAAGCCUGAUCCAGCAAUGCCGCGUGCAGGAAGAAGGCCUUCGGGUUGUAAACUGCUUUUGUACGGAACGAAACGGUCUGGGUUAAUACCCUGGGCUAAUGACGGUACCGUAAGAAUAAGCACCGGCUAACUACGUGCCAGCCGCCGCGGUAAUAC
rnacentral:rRNA from 1 species